UAGAGUUUGAUCAUGGCUCAGGAUGAACGCUGGCGGCGUGCCUAAUACAUGCAAGUCGAACGAAGAGAGAAAAGAGCUUGCUCUUUUCGAUCUUAGUGGCGAACGGGUGAGUAACACGUGGGUAACCUGCCCAUCAGCCUGGGAUAACCACCGGAAACGGUGGCUAAUACCGGAUAUGUCUACGGAUGAAAGUCGGGUUUUCUGACACUGAUGGAUGGACCUGCGGCGCAUUAGCUAGUUGGUGAGGUAGUGGCUCACCAAGGCGACGAUGCGUAGCCGACCUGAGAGGGUGACCGGCCACACUGGGACUGAGACACGGCCCAGACUCCUACGGGACGCAG
rnacentral:rRNA from 1 species